GUAAAGCCCAGCACAGUGUCUGGCAUCUGGUAAGCUCCCAUCAUGUCAGCUGUUGGCGUAGGUGGUGUUGGUGAGAUGCGGGGCCUGGAAUUCACUGGACGCUCUGGUGCAGAGUCUGAACAGAAGCGGAUGACAAGACCCAAGGAGCUGGAGGAGCCACACAACUGA
rnacentral:lncRNA from 1 species